rnacentral:rRNA from 1 species
UACGUAGGGUGCAGGCGUUAAUCGGAAUUACUGGGCGUAAAGCGUGCGCAGGCGGUUUGCUAAGAGAGAUGUGAAAUCCCCGGGCUCAACCCGGGAACUGCGUCCGAUACUGGAAGGCUUGAAUCCGGGAGAGGGAUGCGGAAUUCCAGGUGUAGCGGUGAAAUGCGUAGAUAUCUGGAGGAACACCGGUGGCGAAGGCGGCAUCCUGGACCGGCAUUGACGCUGAGGCGCGAAAGCCAGGGGAGCAAACGGG